rnacentral:rRNA from 1 species
UACAGGGGGGGCAAGCGUUGUUCGGAAUUACUGGGCGUAAAGGGUUCGUAGGUGCCAGCCUAAGUCAGACGUGAAAUCCCUCAGCUUAACUGGGGAACUGCGUCUGAUACUGGGUGGCUUGAGUGCAGGAGAGGAAUGCGGAAUUCCAGGUGUAGCGGUGAAAUGCGUAGAUAUCUGGAGGAACACCGGUGGCGAAGGCGGCUCACGA